AAGGAUGUAGUAUAACGGUAGUACAAUUGUCUCCAAAACAGUUAGCGGUGGUUCGACACCAUUCAUCCUU
rnacentral:tRNA from 1 species